UUUUGAACGGGAAGAACCUUACCAAGGCUUGACAUACACCGGAAACCUGUGGAGACACGGUCCCCUUUGUGGUCGGUGUACAGGUGGUGCAUGGGUGUCGUCAGCUCGUGUCGUGAGAUGUUGGGUUAAGUCCCGCAACGAGCGCAACCCUUGUUCUGUGUUGCCAGCAUGCCUUUCGGGGUGAUGGGGACUCACAGGAGACUGCCGGGGUCAACUCGGAGGAAGGUGGGGACGACGUCAAGUCAUCAUGUCCCUUAUGUCUUGGGCUGCACACGUGCUACAAUGGCCGGUACAAUGAGCUGCGAUACCGCGAGGUGGAGCGAAUCUCAAAAAGCCGGUCUCAGUUCGGAUUGGGGUCUGCAACUCGACCCCAUGAAGUCGGAGUUGCUAGUAAUCGCAGAUCAGCAUUGCUGCGGUGAAUACCUUUCCCGGUCUUGUACACACGCACAA
rnacentral:rRNA from 1 species